UCGAAGUUAAUCAUUUUAUAUUUAGGGUCGACUAGAAUAGAUUGACAUGCUUCAGUGUUCCAAAAACACAGUAUUUUUGUCAGUGUACAUCUCUAUUCACCCUCUGUCUGAAACGCUUUGUUAGAGCUUCUGUGUCUUUAAGCCCCCCCUUCCAAUGACCCCAGUAGGCUCUGACUGGUCAGACAAGAGGGCAAUAAGGAUUGUGUUUUGAGAUUACGUCAUCUGGUAAAUAAGGUGUCAGGCAGCUGAGAAAAUUGGUUUCUGUGGGAGAGAGUUACUCCUUCUGGCGUGUACUUUUAGGCUUUGUAACUAUGCAGACCGUUUACAUGCACAAAAAGCUAUACAACACCCUAAAGGAAAAAACGGAAAAGCAUAAUAGGUCGUCUUUAAGGAUUUUGUGCCCCAUGUCCUGCCACCUUCUAUGUAUAUAAAGUGUUUUGGGUAAUUAAUUUAGUUUGUUUUGGUCAUUCAUUCAAUUGGUUUUAUUUUUUACUAUACUUUACCUGUUGUGUGAGGAGGGCUCUCUUCACCACAGACAGGGAGUCCUCCAGGCCCUUGCUCUGCAAAAGCUGCUUGAGUUCAUUGAAGAGGUCCACUUUCGAGGACAGGCUGCUACUGCUCUGCCCACUGCCACCACUUCCAGGGUCCCUGCUAAGCAUAUGCCCUGUGUCCUUGACCUGGCUCUUGCUCCGGCCUCGGCUCCUGGGACAACUCCUGCUCCGGCUCCGGCUCCGGCUCCUGGGCCGACUCUUACUCCGAGCCCUACUUCUGGCCCGACUCUUCGCCCUGCUGCGGCUGCGGCUUCUCAUCCGGCUCUUGCUCCGCGCUCUGCUCUUACUACGGGCUCUGCUCUUACUACGCGCUCUGCUCUUGCUACGCGCUCUGCUCUUGCUAGGGGCCCGGCUCUUACUACGGGCUCUGCUCUUACUACGCGCUCUGCUCUUACUACGGGCCCGGCUUUUGCCGCGGCUGCGCGCUCUGCUCUUGCCCCUGCUGCGGCUGCGACUGUGUCCUCUCUGUUUACGGGAAGGACUCUGACUCCUGCUCUUCCCUCGUUCCGAAGUCUUCUUGUAGUGCCCCCAGGUCUCCAUCUCUUCUCCAUCUCUCCCAUUGGGCUUCAAUGGUUGGUCCUUGGCAGCCAAACUUCUGAGAAACUCCUCCCCUGCUUUCUCACUAGAGUUAGAAACAUCAAAACAAAGUUAAACAAACAUCAAAAUAGUCACUUCAAAAAAUGGCAAAAUUCUAUGCAUAUUGAACUAAAAAGCUAGGAUCUGAAUGAAAUGCAACACAGUAAGUAGCCAUGCAAAUUAUGCUAACCUCUCAUCCCAGCUGCGGGUCUGCAGGGGCAAGUUAUGGCUUUGGACAGGCGUAAUGUUGUGCUGACUACCAACAGUAAUCACCAUACUGUGGUCAACAGACAUACCGCUGAAAGGCCGUGCCUAGAGGAAAAAGAGAGGGGGUGAUUUGCUGCUUGAUUACUGUUCUUUUAACUUGCAAUCGUUUACUUAAUGCGAAGUUUUCUUUUUUUUCUGGUGCGUUGUAUGCAUCUCAGAGGCUUGUUUGCUAACGUUACUCACAUCCAUGAAUGGAGGUCUAAUGGGUGGAUGUCCAAUUGGGUGGCCAGGCGGAGCACCCCGGUAAGUGAGACCCGGUUGGCCAUGAUAAGGUGGUUGGUACGGGGCUCCAUAUCCAGUAUUAAAGCGAGGACCGUUUGGGGGACCACUGGCAAAACCGGGUGGUCUCUGAAUGUGUCCGGAGGAAUAUUCUUCUUGAUUGGACAAACCGCGAAACAUGUCGCAGCUACAAUGGCAUUGUUUGGCAGUUUCUGUCCAUAUAUUCUCUCAACGAAAGAAUGUUUACCUGUGGAGUUAGAAAUAACUGUAUCACCAUCCACAGAUGUGCAAUCAAACACUGUUAACAAGAACCAAGAGCAGCAAGAACCCCAAUCUAGCUAGUGUCGGAGAAUGUUUAGUAGCUUCUUCAAUGAAGUUCUUCCUCCUAGUUUACAUCGAGGUUUGU
ensembl:lncRNA